GGUCGAGUGGUGUAGUUGGUUAUCACGUCAGUCUAACACACUGAAGGUCUCCAGUUCAAGUCUGGGCUCGAUCA
rnacentral:tRNA from 1 species